rnacentral:rRNA from 1 species
CCUACGGGGGGCAGCAGUGGGGAAUAUUGGACAAUGGGGGCAACCCUGAUCCAGCCAUGCCGCGUGUGUGAAGAAGGCCCUCGGGUUGUAAAGCACUUUCAGUGAGGAAGAACGCCUGGUGGUUAAUACCCAUCAGGAAAGACAUCACUCACAGAAGAAGCACCGGCUAACUCCGUGCCAGCAGCCGCGGUAAUACGGAGGGUGCGAGCGUUAAUCGGAAUUACUGGGCGUAAAGCGCGCGUAGGUGGCUUGAUAAGCCGGUUGUGAAAGCCCCGGGCUCAACCUGGGAACGGCAUCCGGAACUGUCAAGCUAGAGUGCAGGAGAGGAAGGUAGAAUUCCCGGUGUAGCGGUGCAAUGCGUAGAGAUCGGGAGGAAUACCAGUGGCGAAGGCGGCCUUCUGGACUGACACUGCCACUGAGGUGCGAAAGCGUGGGUAGCAAACGGGAUUAGAUACCCUUGUAGUC